rnacentral:rRNA from 1 species
UUCCGGUUGAUCCUGCCAGAGGUCACUGCUAUCAGUGUUCGACUAAGCCAUGCAAGUCAAAUGUUCUUCGUGAACAUGGCGAACUGCUCAGUAACACGUGGAUAACCUGCCCCUGGGAUUGGCAUAACACCGGGAAACUGGUGAUAAUACCGAAUAGACCAUCAUUGCUGGAAUGCUUUUUGGUCCAAAGGCUUCGGCCGCCCAUGGAUGGAUCUGCGGCCUAUCAGGUAGUAGUGGGUGUAAUGUACCUACUAGCCUACGACGGGUACGGGUUGUGAGAGCAAGAGCCCGGAGAUGGAUUCUGAGACAUGAAUCCAGACCCUACGGGGUGCAGCAGGCGCGAAAACUUUACAAUGCGGGAAACCGCGAUAAGGGGACACUGAGUGCCAGCAUAUUAUGUUGGCUGUCCACAUGUUUAAAAAUCAUGUGUCAGCAAGGGCCGGGCAAGACCGGUGCCAGCCGCCGCGGUAACACCGGCGGCCCGAGUGGUGAUCACUUUUAUUGGGUCUAAAGGGUCCGUAGCCGGUUUGAUCAGUCUUCCGGGAAAUCUGACAGCUCAACUGUUAGGCUUCCGGUGGAUACUGUCAGACUUGGGACCGGGAGAGGUAAGAGGUACUACAGGGGUAGGAGUGAAAUCUUGUAAUCCCUGUGGGACCACCAGUGGCGAAGGCGUCUUACCAGAACGGGUCCGACGGUGAGGGACGAAAGCUGGGGGCACGAACCGGAUUAGAUACCCGGGUAGUCCCAGCCGUAAAC